GGAUGCUCCCUGCCCGGCCCGUGGUAAGGUCCUGCUCUUAGAGGAUGCUGCCAGGUCCUGGGAAUGUGGUAAAAAUAGAGUCUACACAGGCGACGGGAUGCUCCUGGGAACUUGCAGCCAGCCCAGCCCUCCCUCCAGGAUUCAGGCAGCAACAGCUUCCCCAGAGUCGGUUCGGGCUCAGCCACCAGCCCAGCAUUUUCCUGGUGCCAAGGUCAGCUCCUCGGCAGGCCCUGAACUUGUGGUUUGGAGAAAUAAAUGACAUGCUGAUUACUUAAUCCUAAAACAACAGGAAUUUUCUCUUUUUUAAGGGGCAAUGACAGGAAGCUGGCAACGUUGCAGAACCAGCCACAAGCAUCUCGGGCUAUGUUCCGGGGGACAGAGCGGGGUGGGGACUGUGCUGCAGAACUGAACCAGGGUUUAGGGCUGGCCUCUCCCUGCACCUUAUGGCAUCUGUGUCUGGAGGCUCUUCUCCAUGCCGAGAAUGCAGCUCUGCGCCGUCCACUCGGCUUGUCCCUCCUCCCAGCUCUCCUGGCCUCCUUGUGUCCUGGCGGCACUGGAGCCCUGGGGAUGGGCUGCAACUUCGGAAGGAAAUUCCCUUGGUGGGCUGCUUCCCUGGUCUCCAGACCUCAGCAAGCCAGGUCAUUUGGACUUGACUUCAGGCUCCAAAAAAGUUAAUGGUUCACGAAGGGAAAGCACCAAAUAGCCGUGGCCGCGAGCCACCGAGUGUACCCGGAGGCGCAGAGACCAUUGCCACUAAACUUUGGUUCUGUCAAUCAUUUGGGCCUUCUCUCAUUGGAUAAUGAUACCCCACACACCCACAAACCCUGGGCCAAAUCCUGUGUGUGCCCCUGGGGACAGAGGGCUGAGCAGCAAGUGUGGCCCUCGUGGAGCUCAGGGUUACAUGGAAGAUGCAGGCUUAGGAAGUAACCAGGCAGCCCCAGGAGGAACGGCAGCUUCGAAUAAACGAAAGCCAGGACUGAGAGGACAUGUGACAGCAGGCCUCUCAAGCACUUCAGCCGCCCCCAGAGGGUGGGACGGGGACCCCCAAAAUGUUCCCCGUCUUAACCCGCAGAACCUGUAAACGGAAACUCGCUUAAGACUAGGGUCUUCGCAGAUGUGAUUCAACUAAGGAUCUCAAGAUGAGACCAUCCCGAUUUAGGGUGGGCCCUAAAUCCAAUGGCUAGUGUCCUUAUAAGAGAUAGGGGAGGGACACUUAAGCCCCAGAAACCCAGAGAAGAAGGCCAUGCAGAGUGGAGGCAGAGGCUGGGGUGAGGCGUCUGCAAGCCAGGAAACACCUGGAGCCACCAGUGACCGAGAGACAAAGAGGGACUCUGCCCUCAAGCCCUCAGGGGGAGCAUGGCCCUGCCCACACCUUGACCUUGGAUUCCUGUCAUCCAGAAGUGUGAGAAAGUAAAUUUUUAUUGUUUAAGCCCCCAGUUUGUGGUCAUUUGUCCCAGCAGCCCCAGGAGACCCAUACAACGACCUAAAGAAGAAAAUCCGUCUCCCAUGCCAGCCCGUGUGAGCAUGUCGUCUCUGCGAGUUUGUGCGAGUGUUGCAUUGUUGCUGGUGCUGGUCCUCACCUCCCCUUGGUCUGCGAGGAAGACACCUGCAGACACUACUUCUGAGGGUGCCUCAGAGGUGAAGUCUGGAGAAUGAGCCUCAGCCAGUUCAACCCUGUCCCCUGCCCCUCCUGGCACCUUCCCACCUGCGUGUCCUUCGGGCUUCCUAGGGCUGCCCAUCUCCCUCCCAGAACUGGCUGUAGAAUUG
rnacentral:lncRNA from 1 species